UGUUUGUUUUUUUUUUUUUUUUUUUUUUUUUUUUUUUUUUUGACAAUUGUAUUGAUAUUUUUUCUGGAUUAUGCAUGUGGUCAGACAAAAUUGGGUAAAGAUUCUACAGUAUCAGAGCUACCUACAUCUGAACAUAAACACAGGGAGAAAAUCAAGGUUUGCAUGCAGAGAGAUUAUGGAGUCUGAAAGCUUCUUUCAAAGGGGCAAGAAUGAUCUAAUAAAGAUAAGUUGCCUAUUUACUCAAACUUAUAGAACUCUAGCUAAAACACUAAUUUGUACUCUUCUAUGUGUGAUUUUAUUAGCUUUAUAUAUUCAUAAAAUUCCAAAAUUCCAAAGGAGUUUGAAGUUGUUGUGUAAGCACAUAUAUCUGUUUUUUUAUUUAACAAACUUAAAUGAUUUUGUGUGAUUCUAUGAAGUUUAAAAAUAUACUUUUUUUUAACUAUAUUUGUGUUUUUAUUUUUGUCCUAUGUAUUUUUGUUUUUCACACUGUUUUCAAGUUGUGAUUUUAGCAGUGUCAAAAUGCAGAUGUAAGUACACCAUCCUAUUUUAAAUUACUGCUUAAUUACAAGCUUAUACUAAUACUUUUCCAUUUUCCUAGGAACAAUGGUGUUUAUAUCAACAUUCUGUACUAAAAUGAAUGACAACUAAAGCUGGAAUCAAGUGAAGACAGAUCAGAACUAUAGUUAGUAGUUAUAAUGUAUCUAGAAUUCUAGAUUUCGAUGUAAGGAGUCACUAUAGUACUUAAAAUGUAUCUAUCUCGCUGUAUGUAAUUUUCUUUCUGUAUAAUUAAGUAAUAAAAUUAUCUAUGUAAUUAAGUUUUAA